GACGAACGCUGGCGGCGUGCUUAACACAUGCAAGUCGAACGGAAAGGCCCUGCUUUUGUGGGGUGCUCGAGUGGCGAACGGGUGAGUAACACGUGAGUAACCUGCCCUUGACUUUGGGAUAACUUCAGGAAACUGGGGCUAAUACCGGAUAGGAGCUCCUGCUGCAUGGUGGGGGUUGGAAAGUUUCGGCGGUUGGGGAUGGACUCGCGGCUUAUCAGCCUGUUGGUGGGGUAGUGGCUUACCAAGGCUUUGACGGGUAGCCGGCCUGAGAGGGUGACCGGCCACAUUGGGACUGAGAUACGGCCCAGACUCCUACGGGAGGCAGCAGUGGGGAAUAUUGCACAAUGGGCGGAAGCCUGAUGCAGCAACGCCGCGUGCGGGAUGACGGCCUUCGGGUUGUAAACCGCUUUCGCCUGUGACGAAGCGUGAGGGACGGUAACGGGGAAAGAAGCACCGGCUAACUACGU
rnacentral:rRNA from 1 species